CAUGUGUCUGUUGCUGCUGUUGCUGUAGUUGUUGCUGUAACAGAUGAAUCUGGUGGUGGACUGACAGGGGAGCACUGUUGAGCAGAGUACCCGACGACGGCAGCAGCAUCCUGGGGGGCGCCAGCAACAAAGAGGCCUGCUCUGGAACCUGCCAUGGAGGAGAGAAGGUUAAUGAUGAAUCUCAUGGAUUGAGAGAGGGAGCCAUCAAUACAAGGAGAGAGAGAGGACGGAAGAGCACAGACUACCCAAACACACCAAGACAGUCGUGAAGAGAGCACGACAACACCUUUUAUUCCUCAGGAGACUGAAAAGAUUUGGCAUGAGCCCCCAGAUCCUCAAAAGGUUCUACAGCUGCACCAUCGAGAGCAUCCUGACCGGUUACAUCACUGCAUGCACGGCAAGUGGUACCGGAACGCCAAGUCUAGGACCAAAAGGCUCCUUAACAGCGUCUACCCCCAAGCCAUAAGACUGCGGAACAAUUCAUCAAAUGGCCACCGGACUAUUUACAUUGACACCCCCUCCCCGUCCAUUUGUUUUUUACACCGCUGCUACUCACAGUUUAUUUUCUAUGCAUAGUAAUUUCACCCCUACCUACAUGUACAAAUUACCUCGAUUAACCUGUACCCCCGCACAUUGACAAGGUACCGGUACCCCCUGUAUAUAGCCUCGUUGUUAUUUUAUUCUGUUAUUUUUUAUUUACUUUAGUUUAUUUUUUCUUUACUGUUCUUGAACUGCACUGUUGUUUAAGGGCUUGUAAGUAAGCAUUUCACAAUAAGAUCUCCACUUGUUGUAUUUGGCACAUGUGACAAAUAAAGUUUGAUUUGAUUUAAGACUA